rnacentral:rRNA from 1 species
GGCAACCCUGACGGAGCAACGCCGCGUGUGGGAGGACGGCCUUCGGGUUGUAAACCCCUUUUCUCUGGGAAGAAGACUGACGGUACCAGAGGAAUCAGCCUCGGCUAACUCCGUGCCAGCAGCCGCGGUAAUACGGAGGAGGCAAGCGUUAUCCGGAAUUAUUGGGCGUAAAGCGUCCGUAGGUGGUUAUUCAAGUCUGCUGUCAAAGCGUGGGGCUUAACUCCAUAGAGGCAGUGGAAACUGAGUGACUAGAGUGCGGUAGGGGUCGAGGGAAUUCCCAGUGUAGCGGUGAAAUGCGUAGAUAUUGGGAAGAACACCAGUGGCGAAAGCGCUCGACUGGGCCUGCACUGACACUGAGGGACGAAAGCUAGGGGAGCG